rnacentral:rRNA from 1 species
AACGAACGCUGGCGGCAUGCCUAACACAUGCAAGUCGAACGAGACCUUCGGGUCUAGUGGCGCACGGGUGCGUAACGCGUGGGAACCUGCCUUUAGGUUCGGAAUAACUCCCCGAAAGGGGUGCUAAUACCGGAUAAUGUCUUCGGACCAAAGAUUUAUCGCCUUUAGAUGGGCCCGCGUAAGAUUAGGUAGUUGGUGGG